ACACACAUGGCAUGGAUCAUCCCAUCACCUAGUUAUUAAGCCCAGAAUCCUUUAGCUAUUUUUCCUGAUGCUCUCCCUCCCCCUGCACCACCCUGCAAUAGGGCCUGGUGUGUGCUGUUUCUCCCAGUAUGUCCAUGUGUUCUCAUUCAGCUCCCACUUAUAGGUGAAAACAUGAGAUGUUUGGUUUUCUGUUUCUGCAUUAGUUUGCUGAGGAUAAUGGCUUCCAGCUCCAUCCAUGUCCUUGCAAAGGACAUGAUCUCAUUCCUUUUGGACACUUUUAAAGUAGCUUAGUUUAAUUUUUUCCUUAACUUCUAUAUGAGAUGUUCUGUGGUUUUUCUGAACACUCAGACUUUGCAGACUUCUAUUGAAACAGAAGAUUUAGUAUUAAUUCACCUUUUAUUUGGCAAUAUCUUCUUAGUAACCUGUCUUCUGUUGCUUUAGGUACAGUCAUUGAAAAUGUUUUUUGCUAGGUUACAUAGUUAAGUGGUUUCAGGAUAUGUAGACAAGUGCUUAUUCUCUGGGAAUACAUGUACAUGCAAAGCAUAAUUAUUUUCUAGCAUCAAAAUUAUGGCUUCAUGAAUUUUUAAGACUUUUAAACAUCUUUUUACCAUGCUAUGUUUGUUCUCUUUUAUUUUAUUCCAUUAGUUUCCUUGUAGCAAUUAUUAAUAAGCUCCUAGAAAGAGAAGAUGUAUUCUUAGAAUGCAGCAAGGAAAAACAGGCGUGGAAGUCAUUCUUCCUCUUCCCAGCUAGUCUUCGAAUGGAGCAGAAAGAACUCUGAAACUCUGAUAGUGGAUUUGGUGUGCAUAGCUUUAAAACGUAAAAAGAAGCAGGUUGGGCUCAUAAGUGUCUUUCCACAGUGGCUGAACUAAUUGACAUUCCCACCACCAGAGAAUAAGUGUUCCCUUUUCUCUGCAAACU